CUGAGGCCACACAGAACACUUCUAAUUCCUCUUCCACAUAAGAGUCUAGAAAAUUGCUAUCAGGCCUCUCCCCAAUGCUUUUAUUCCUUUUUCUAAUAUGUAGUUCCCAUAAUUGAUCUUCAGAGACUCCAGACCCCUUCACCAAUCUGGCUGAACACUCCCCAGUUCACUGUUGCCCAUUGUAAAUUGUGUUAUCUAGAACCAAAUACAAUAAUCCAAGUGCCAUCUUAUAGUACAGAAGGACAGCUAUAUCCUUAUUCUUGGAAGUAGAUAUGCAUCACUUAAGACAGCAUUAGUUGUUGGGGUAGUUGUGUAGCUCAGUGUAUUGAGAGCCAGGCCUAGAGAUCAGAGGUUCUGGGAUCAAAUCUGACCUCAAAUAAUUCCUCCCUAUAUGACCCUGGGACACUCACUUAACCUCCAUUGCAUAGUAUUGAUCCUAAGUCUGAUAGGUAAGGGUUAAAAUUAUUUUGCAUUAUGUUUUUUCAACUGCCUGUUACCGUUAAAAAUGAUAAUAAAUUUGUUGAUCUCUCAAUCAUACCCAAGGUCUCAUUAUGCAAUCUAACAUGGCAUUAAAAGUCUAUCUCCAAUGUCCCCCUUUUAAAUUAACCAUCCCCCAUGAAUUCAACUUUUUUAAAUGGAAUGGGAACCAGUCAGUCACUGCCCCAUCAAGGCCAAUGCUUUUUGGUAAUUUGGACGUUUUAUAUUCAAGGAUAGGACCUGAUAUCAAUCCCCAGUAACAUUCAUCUUACAACAUUCCAUCUACAGUGCUAGCUUCCUGAGCUACUUCUAUAUCCUAUCAGCUUUUACCAUCCCUAUCCUCCCAAUUUUUUCUUUCUUUCUAUUUUCCUUCCAGUUUCAAAAUUAUGCUUUCUGCUUGCCUGUAGGAUUAGUAGAAUAUUAGUGGUAAUCAUUUACAAAGCUCUUUACAUAUAUUAUUUCAUUUUAUCCAAGUCACUCAUAGGAACAUUGAACAGAAAGAGUUCAAGAACAGAAACUUCAGAAGAUUUGUCUGAACUGAUGCAGAAUGAAAAUUUCCCUGCCAAAGGGGAUCAAGGCCAGCCCCAUUGCAUGAACAUAGCUUAUACUCCAACCAAGACUGGAAACAUUCUGUGGGUCCACAACACCAAGGGAAAUGGACUGAAGUAAAGAUUAUGGGGCAGUCAUUGAACCUGCAGUCCUAGAAGUUGAGAGACAAAGAAGGUUGAUGUCACUGGGACAGAAGAGAAUAAUACAAUAUCAAUAACAAGGAUGAUGACAACAACUCACAUUUUUUUGUGCUUACCAUGUAAUGUUAGGAUAAUUUUAUCAUUUUGACUUAAAAUCUAAAUUAAUUUUGUCACCAGGGAAAAUCCCAUAUAAUAAAAUACCAAAGAAAUUA